rnacentral:tRNA from 1 species
UUCCAGGAUGGGAAUCGAACCCACAGUGUUCCGCUUACCGGGAAGAUGCCAUGUCCACUAGGCUACCCUGGA